UGAAAGAAGCGAUCUGAAUGGUUGCUAUGGGCAACCACUUUUCCUCUUCACAGGUAUUGAUAAAUCUCCCCCAGUGUUUUGGGGAAAAAUUCCACAAAAAACCUUGGAAGAAAAGAAAUGAGAGGGGGGGGGGGGGGCAGUUUUUGUGGUGUCUUUUCAAAAAUUGUGACUGUCCCUAGGCUUAUGCUGGGAUUUAACACAGUUUAUAUGCGGUAUUUUUCAAAUCACACAUUGCUUUAUCUUUGACGGUACAACCCCCCCCCCCCCAUGUCAGGGCAUGCUGGUAGUUGUAGUUUUGCAACAGGUGGACAGCCACAAGGGAUGACUGAUGCAGUAUGUCAAUCUAGGGCCAUGGUGUCUGAUCUUGAACUGGCAGCAGGAGCCACGACCACUUUAAAACAAUGGCUGCCGGGACGUCUGACGAGUGACAUCCUACGCUGCAGACCCCAAUGUCAGGGACGUCACUCGUCAGGCUGUUGGGGGCCACAAAAUGAUAUUACAGAUACUAAGCGUCUGGUUAGGAGAAACAAAUGUUACGCACCCAUAGGGAGUAGCGCAAUUAUAAUAAAAAAUGCAAAAAAAAUAUUCCCUUAGAUAACAGUCAUGCGGAAUAUGUUAAAAAGCUUUUUUAGGUUUCAGCCAAUCAGAGAGCAGCACUGCUCAAAUAGAACUCCCAGGAGGUAACAGCGUGUCACACAUGUGAUGUCAUAACCAUUGUCCACCAGAGAGCAGCACUGAGCAGAUAUAACACGGCUCCUGCUCAUUCUUCAUCAUCGAGGGGCCGGUGCUGGACGCGGGAAUGUGAAGUCAAAAACAUGACUGUGAUUGAUGCACUAUUUCCAGCAUGUGGAGUAGCAUUUCCAGACUUACAGCAAGACGUUGGAUGAAGGCACAGCCCCUCGAUUCACGAACAUACACAGACACAUUUGCCCAAAUUCUAGAGGUAACCUCCUUUAGUAUGCCCAGAGGAAGGGCAGUACAGUAGCCAUGGAUUCCCUACAGGUUUCCUCCCCUCUGGAGGUUUUUCCUGUCCUGCGUUAGUUACUGUACGCUCUUUGUGAGUGAUGGAGGUUACAAAAAAUCCCUACACAAACAUUUUAAUAAUUAAUAAAUAAAGUUUCCCUUUUUUUUAAACUGUUCUUUGACUUGUUCAACUCAUUUAUUUUAUUUCUAUGUGUGAAAAAUAGUGUUAGCAAAAUGUGGAUGACAUGAGUUUUUAUUU